rnacentral:rRNA from 1 species
GACGAACGCUGGCGGCGUGCCUAAUACAUGCAAGUCGAGCGAAUUUACGAGAGCUUGCUCUCGUAAAUUAGCGGCGGACGGGUGAGUAACACGUGGGCAACCUGCCUAUAAGACUGGGAUAACUUCGGGAAACCGGAGCUAAUACCGGAUAAUUCACAUCUACUCAUGUAGAUGUGCUGAAAGACGGUUUACGCUGUCACUUAUAGAUGGCCCGCGCGCAUAGCUAGUUGGUGAGUAACGGCUCACCAAGCCACGAUGCGUAGCCGACCUGAGAGGGUGAUCGGCCACACUGGGACUGAGACACGGCCCAGGCUCCUACGGGAGGCAGCAGUAGGGAAUCUUCCGCAAUGGACG